AGUGAACGCUGGCGGCAGGCCUAACACAUGCAAGUCGAACGGCAGCACAGGGGUAGCAAUACCCUGGGUGGCGAGUGGCGGACGGGUGAGGAAUACGUCGGAAUCUGCCUGGUUGUGGGGGAUAACGUAGGGAAACUUACGCUAAUACCGCAUGAGACCCUGAGUCGACGGACUGGGGGUGAAAGUGAGGGACCUUCGGGCCUCACGCGACCAGAUGAGCCGAUGUCGGAUUAGCUAGUUGGCGGGGUAACGGCCCG
rnacentral:rRNA from 1 species